UACGUAGGGGGCAAGCGUUAUCCGGAUUCAUUGGGCGUAAAGAGCGCGUAGGCGGCUUGUUAAGUCAGAUGUGAAAACCGGGGGCUUAACCCGCGGCCUGCAUCUGAAACUGGCAGGCUUGAGUCUGGUAGAGGAAAGUGGAAUUCCCAGUGUAGCGGUGAAAUGCGCAGAUAUUGGGAGGAACACCAGUGGCGAAGGCGGCUUUCUGGGCCACGACUGACGCUGAGGCGCGAAAGCUAGGGGAGCGAACAGG
rnacentral:rRNA from 1 species